CCUACGGGAGGCAGCAGUGGGGAAUAUUGGACAAUGGGCGAAAGCCUGAUCCAGCCAUGCCGCGUGUGUGAAGAAGGUCUUCGGAUUGUAAAGCACUUUAAGUUGGGAGGAAGGGCUGCUGAUUAAUACUCCGCAGUUUUGACGUUACCAACAG
rnacentral:rRNA from 1 species